GCCUUACAUGAUACAACUAUUCUGUUAUCGCCAGAGAACUACAAGUGAAAAACUUCAAACUCAAAGGACUUGGCGGUGUCCCAUAUCGACCUAGAGGAGCCUGUCCUAUAAUCGAUGCCCCCCGUUCAACUUAAUCUAUAAUAGCACCUUUCAGCCUAUAUACCGCCGUCGACAGUCUACCCCAUGAGGGACCAAUAGUAGACACAACAGCUAACUCCGCUAAUACGUCAGGUCAAGGUGUAGCACAUGUUGAGGAAGAGAUUGGCUACAUUUUUUGUCACAAAAAAUACGAAAUGCAUCAUGAAACACUGCAUGAAGGUGAAUUUAGUAGUAAGAUUAAACAAGAGUGUUUAUCUUAACAACGCUCUGGGACGCGCACACACCGCCCGC
rnacentral:rRNA from 1 species